rnacentral:lncRNA from 1 species
UGGGUCAUUUUAUGUUCUCUGGAACCAAAGAUAAAUUCCCACUUGUUCCCAUGACUCCCAGCAGAUAUCACAAGACCUCUGUCUACUAGACCCUGCCGAGACCAUGGCAAUCCUGUGGCUGCCCGUCCAAGCAUGCCCAGUGUUUGCUGCCACCACCACCACAGCAUCUGUGGUCUUGGGUGCUGGCGGGAGAACAUUUUGCAUCAGAAACCAUGGCUGAAGAGAGGAUCUGUUUUCUCAUAUCAUCACAUCUGAUGGAUAUGCUAAACUUCAUUCAAAUUCAAACAGGCACACCCUGAAUGACAGGGGGAAAUGGAAGGAGAAAAGAAAAACAAUGCUAAAAAGCCUAGAGAUGACCACAUAUGAAACGAC